rnacentral:rRNA from 1 species
GACGAACGCUGGCGGCGUGCUUAACACAUGCAAGUCGAACGGAAAGGCCCUGCUUGCAGGGUGCUCGAGUGGCGAACGGGUGAGUAACACGUGGGUGAUCUGCCCCUUACUUUGGGAUAAGCCUGGGAAACUGGGUCUAAUACUGGAUAGGACCAUGCUGUAGGUGGUGUGGUGGAAAGAUUAGUUUCGGUAAGGGAUGAGCUCGCGGCCUAUCAGCUCGUUGGUGGGGUAAUGGCCUACCAAGGCGUCGACGGGUAGCCGGCCUGAGAGGGUGGACGGCCACAUUGGGACUGAGAUACGGCCCAGACUCCUACGGGAGGCAGCAGUGGGGAAUAUUGCACAAUGGGCGCAAGCCUGAUGCAGCGACGCCGCGUGGGGGAUGACGGCCUUCGGGUUGUAAACUCCUUUCAGCCAUGACGAAGCCCUUGUGGUGACGGUAGUGGUAGAAGAAGCACCGGCUAACUACGUG